rnacentral:lncRNA from 1 species
GAGUGGUGCAUGAGAGAGAGAAUAGGUGAUGGAUUUGAGACACUGACCAUUUUGAUUCAGUUGGGGGACCAUAAACUACUCAAACCCCAAUACUUGAAUACUCUCAUUAUUGCAUUUAUGCUAAAUGAAGAAAAACAUGACCAGUUUUAUCCAUACAUAUGAAGUCAUUUAUUGAGAAUGAACUAGAGACCAUGACCAUUCACUUGAUAUUUUACUCUCUCUUCUUUCCCUCCACACAGGGAAGACCAACUAGAGUCACAAAUCCAUCGAGGUUAGCCAUUAAUACUUGAUCAGUUCCCUUGUCCUUUUGUUGUGGGUUCCUGUAUUUCUUAUUACUAGUGUAGUAGUAGCAGUAUUUUCUUAUUUAAUCCAAUCACGUAAUGCGAGGGGCUCCACUGCAUCGGUUAAUUGUGCUGUGUUUCUUCAGGCGGUAUGCUCUAAUUAAUUGGUGGGUGAAUUGAAUGAUGUUAAAAUUCUCAUUUUUUUAAGCACUAAAUAUAAUUAAUUCGUGUCAAAUUUUAAUUUCAUCGCUAUAUUCUUAAAAGUCUAAAAAAAAUACACUGAUUUAAAACACGUCGAACAUUUACAAACCAAUUAACCUGUAGCUAUAAGUUUCUUAUAUAGACAAUAUUUAAAUGUAUUGUAUUUUCAUUCAUAUUUUAAUUAUUUUCUGACAUUGUACAUGCCCAUGCAUAUAGAAAUAUGAUAUGAUAUCGAAUUACCGAUGUACAAAAUCUAAACAUCCAAUGCUAACAUUCAAGAUUACAAAGUAUUUUAUACACACAUGAUUUAUCUGAACUGGAUAUGUAGAUAGUGGAUUUGAGGUAGAUUGUUGAUGUACCUUAGAUGGAUGAAUGAUCGAUCGAAUGAUGAGAUAAACUCUCGAACAGAGCUAGUUUUUGUGUGCUAGAUAGUCAAGGUCUGAAUAUCCUAAAGUUGAUCGAGGCUCCAAUGCAAUUAAAACACUGUAAAUAAUGGAUAGGUACUUAUCCCAACAGUUAAGUCAGUAAUGAUCCCACAAGAGUAGUGAUAUGUAUUAAAUGCGUACAUACUUACAAUGAUAUAUUUUGAUAAUAAUCAGAGAUUAAAAUAUUUAAAAUUUAAAUUAAAAUUUAAUAUAAUUUUUAAAUUUCUAAAAAAUUUAAAGGUUAUAUUUUGAAUCUCAAUUAUCAUUAACUCGUCAUCAUCAUUAUGAUUGUCAUCACUUACACUAGUAUGAUCAUUGUUAUCGUCGUUGUCGUCGUCAUUACCGUUGUCAUUAUCGUCAUUGUCAUUGUUGUCACCACCACCAUUGUCGGUGGCAACGAUGGUGGUGACGACAAUGACAAUCAUGAUGGUGGUUGUAAUAGUGAUUAUGGUGGUAGUAGUAAUGACGAUGAAGGUUAUGAGAACAGAGGUGGUAAUUGAUGAUGAUAGUGAUGACAACAACAAUUAUGGUGGUGACUAUAACGGUGAUAGUGAUAACCAUGAUAGUAAUGAAUUAAUUGAAAUAUUUUAGAGAGUGAUAAUUGAAAUCUUUAUUGAUUUAUUUAUUAUUGUCUAGUUAAUCUUUCAGAGAUUUGAUGGUAUAUUAAAUUUUAAUUUGAAAUUAAAUAUUUUAAUUUCAAUUAUUUAUUAUUUUUAAUCUUGAUCCUAUAGUUGUUAUUAAUUUUCUCACAUAAGAUAGUGUUCGCAUAGGAGUUGUGCUCUCUUUCUAUAAAGAGACUUAUACUACUUUAUGAAGAAUAAGUGAACUAUUAUAAUAAGAGAUUUUGAGACUUUUGUGAUGAAUAAAUUUUUCAUGCAUGCUUAUCAUAACAAGGUGUUUUUCCUCCCUAAUUAAAUAAUACCAAUAUUGUCUUGAUUCCUAAAAAGGAUAAUCCUAUAUGUAUGAAGGACUUGAGGCCUAUUUAACUUUGUAAUAUUUUAUAUAAAAUUGUUUCCAAAGUUUUUGUUGAUAGAUUAUUUUUUUUUCCAAGUGUAUUUCUUUAGAGCAAUUUGCUUUUGUUGCAAGCAUGUCUUUCUUUGAUAAUAUACUAGUAACUAUUGAGAUUGUUCCCUGUGUGCAUUAUAAAAAAAAUUAAUACUAGUAAAACAUUUGACAAAGUUGACUGGAGUUAUCUUUAAACAAUUUUAGCUUAAUUGGGUUUUCAUGAUCAAUGGAUUACAUGGAUGAGGAUGUGUUUUGCUUAUGUUAAUUUGAACAUUCUUGUUAAUGGUGAUGGAAUUGGUCUUAUUAGUCUUGAGAGAGGGUUUCGUCAGGGUGAUCCAAUAUCACCUUAUCUUUUUAUUAUAUAUAUGGAAUGACUAAUAUUCAUGGUAUUAAGGUAUAUAGAGGAGCUUCUUCUAACAUAUCUUUUAUUGUGGAUGACUCCUUUAUGUUUUGUUGGGAAAAUGAAGAGGAGAUUGAAUCUUUAUAUGCCAUUUUUGAUCAACUUGAACAUACUUCUGAUCAACACAAACAACCUUCAAAAGUUCAAAUUUUUUUUUUCAGCAAAAAUACUUUUCAAAGUACUUGUAAGUUUAUAUCCAAUUUCCUUGGUGUCUCUAAAUGUUUGGGCAUACACAAAUACUUUUGUCUACCCUCUAUGGUGGGAAGAAAGAAGAAAACUAUCUUCAAAUAGUUGAAGGAUCAAAUUUGGAGGAAAAUCGAACAUUAAUUAUCUAAGCAUGUAUCAUAAGAUGACAAAGAAGUUCUUAUCAAAGCCAUCCUCAAAUAAUAUAUGAGCCCCUUUUAACUUCCUAAUGCUUUGGGGGAGGAGAUCCAAUUAAAGAAUGAAGAAUUAUUUUUGGUGGAGUUCGAACAAAAAUUCUUUUAACAUAGGUGACAUUAAUUAUUUAAUAAAUCUUCUUUUAUAAUUUUGUAUUGUUUUAACAAAUUAAAAUUAAAUAAUAAAAAGUAGGAGUGAAAAAGCUUGUCUCAAUCCAAUUGAUUAAAUUCAAACAAUUGUAUAUCAAUAAAAUUAAUUUGCGUACUUUGGUGUUAUAUUUUGUGUGCGUGUGAGAUUGUAUAUCUUUGCAUUGAACUUUAAUUUUAUACUACUUUAAAGAAAAUUAGUGGUGGUGGUGGUAAGGAGCGCAAUCCAAGAGUGGGAGGGACGUACGCAUGCGAAAUCUGGCAUGAUCUACUAGUGAAAAAGCUUGUCUCUCUGCAUUAAACUUUUUCAUUCAGGUGUCCAUGUUGGAGGGUCCCACCAAAUUUCAAUUUUUUUUCUUCUUCUUUCUAAUGGGUAAAGAGUAAAGACAUGGAAGACGAGCUUUGAUCAAUCAGUCAGAGAUAUUCCUCCAUUUUUUUUUUCACCAGCGCCCAACAGAGAAACUCACGGUCUUUAUGUCACACUAUUAUAAUAGUGAAUCAGUACGUAUUUACUUAUUGCCAACACAAAUACCCGAUUGCAUGCGGAGCACAAGAUUCGUACGUCAUCGUCAUUCAUUAUUAUGUUUCUUUUAUCAAACUUGUGCAAAUCAUUACAAUUAUUAUAACUAAUGCUUGCAACCCAUUCGCUUAACUCAUUAGAAGCUUUAACUACUACUAAUUAAAUGAAGCUUUGUGAUUUUUUUUCCCACUUACUAUUUCUCAUUUCGGGAAUAUUGUUUUUGGUUGAAUCCAUGAAUCCUUGGUGGGCAAUUGAGGAC